AAUCCAUAUAUAAAAUCACUUCAUCUACAAGAUCCAUAUAUUAAAAUUAGCCUAAAAUUAUCUAUACAAUAUAAGAUCUAAUACAAAAGAUAUGAUUUUACUCCCUCAAUCCUAGGAAUUCUAACAUUAAUUAUUUAAUAUUACUAAAUUAUGUACAUUGAUCCUAAACUAGCCUUCUAAAUGCUUAUUUUGAGUCUUAC
rnacentral:lncRNA from 1 species